rnacentral:lncRNA from 1 species
CUGUGAGGAGGGGAACUCGUGGUGCCUGUGGCAGGCUUUGCCUUGUGCUGGGUUCUGCCUCCUCAGGUCAGGCUGCAGCUGAGCAGGACCCUGGUCCCCCCAGUCAUGGGACCCCAACAGGCACUUGUGGCACUGAGCUUGGCUAUGUGUUGUGAGCCAUUUCUCCCACUUGCAGUCUGGUCACUGCAGGCCUGAAGGACAUACUCGAAAAUGAGCCAAAAUACCCUCUUCUGAACAGAAAUACACUAGAGCUGGUUCAGCUUGGGGAACAGGAGCUAUGGCACAGGGCGCUCACGAGUGUGAGGUGUAGAUGCUUUCAGGGAAGAUGAGAGUUGGGCCCUUUGGCUGUGAGUGGUUGGGUUUGAAUACAGCCUCUGGGAUCACAUCUCAGAAGGCCUGAAUUCAGUUCUCAUUUUUCCAGGGAUGGGGAAAUUCAACAUUGUCUAUCUCCUCUUUCCUCUUCAGACAGCAAUAGACACUUGAAUGGAGACUCCUCAUGUUUACAGCCUGGUCACACAAGCGACUGAGACCCGAAAUCUCUCAUUCAUGCUAUACCUGCUUCCUUCUGCUCAUGGAGCCUUCUAUUCUGCACAGGACACUGGAAAAGUACUUGGAGAGGGUGGAGAAGGAAGGGAGCUUCCUGGAAAAUGGUCUCUAAACGAAGCCCUUCCCUGUGCCGUGGCUUUUCUGGGGCUCAUUAAUAUCAGUGGUUCCUGCUGGAGGAAUUCUGUCACCUUCCCCAAGGCAGCAGAUCUGAGGCCAGACAUGGCUUUCAGGGAAGAGACCACAGUCCUUAUCAGGGAUCGGAGGAUGGA